rnacentral:rRNA from 6 species
GGGUUGUGAGGUUAAGCGACUAAGCGUACACGGUGGAUGCCCUGGCAGUCAGAGGCGAUGAAGGGCGUGCUAAUCUGCGAUAAGCGCCGGUAAGGUGAUAUGAACCGUUAUAACCGGCGAUACCCGAAUGGGGAAACCCAGUGUGAUUCGUCACACUAUCAUUAACUGAAUCCAUAGGUUAAUGAGGCGAACCGGGGGAACUGAAACAUCUAAGUACCCCGAGGAAAAGAAAUCAACCGAGAUUCCCCCAGUAGCGGCGAGCGAACGGGGAGGAGCCCAGAGCCUGAAUCAGCAUGUGUGUUAGUGGAAGCGUCUGGAAAGGCGCGCGAUACAGGGUGACAGCCCCGUACACAAAAGCGCAUGUGCUGUGAGCUCGAUGAGUAGGGCGGGACACGUGGUAUCCUGUCUGAAUAUGGGGGGACCAUCCUCCAAGGCUAAAUACUCCUGACUGACCGAUAGUGAACCAGUACCGUGAGGGAAAGGCGAAAAGAACCCCGGCGAGGGGAGUGAAAAAGAACCUGAAACCGUGUACGUACAAGCAGUGGGAGCACNNNNNNNNNNNUGUGACUGCGUACCUUUUGUAUAAUGGGUCAGCGACUUAUAUUCUGUAGCAAGGUUAACCGAAUAGGGGAGCCGGAGGGAAACCGAGUCUUAAUUGGGCGUUAAGUUGCAGGGUAUAGACCCGAAACCCGGUGAUCUAGCCAUGGGCAGGUUGAAGGUUGGGUAACACUAACUGGAGGACCGAACCGACUAAUGUUGAAAAAUUAGCGGAUGACCUGUGGCUGGGGGUGAAAGGCCAAUCAAACCGGGAGAUAGCUGGUUCUCCCCGAAAGCUAUUUAGGUAGCGCCUCGUGAAUUCAUCUCCGGGGGUAGAGCACUGUUUCGGCUAGGGGGCCAUCCCGGCUUACCAACCCGAUGCAAACUGCGAAUACCGGAGAAUGUUAUCACGGGAGACACACGGCGGGUGCUAACGUCCGUCGUGAAGAGGGAAACAACCCAGACCGCCAGCUAAGGUCCCAAAGUCAUGGUUAAGUGGGAAACGAUGUGGGAAGGCCCAGACAGCCAGGAUGUUGGCUUAGAAGCAGCCAUCAUUUAAAGAAAGCGUAAUAGCUCACUGGUCGAGUCGGCCUGCGCGGAAGAUGUAACGGGGCUAAACCAUGCACCGAAGCUGCGGCAGCGACACUGUGUGUUGUUGGGUAGGGGAGCGUUCUGUAAGCCUGUGAAGGUGUGUCGUGAGGCAUGCUGGAGGUAUCAGAAGUGCGAAUGCUGACAUAAGUAACGAUAAAGCGGGUGAAAAGCCCGCUCGCCGGAAGACCAAGGGUUCCUGUCCAACGUUAAUCGGGGCAGGGUGAGUCGACCCCUAAGGCGAGGCCGAAAGGCGUAGUCGAUGGGAAACGGGUUAAUAUUCCCGUACUUGGUGUUACUGCGAAGGGGGGACGGAGAAGGCUAUGUUGGCCGGGCGACGGUUGUCCCGGUUUAAGCGUGUAGGUGUGUGUUCCAGGUAAAUCCGGUUCACUUUAACACUGAGGCGUGACGACGAGGCACUACGGUGCUGAAGCAACAAAUGCCCUGCUUCCAGGAAAAGCCUCUAAGCAUCAGGUAACAUCAAAUCGUACCCCAAACCGACACAGGUGGUCAGGUAGAGAAUACCAAGGCGCUUGAGAGAACUCGGGUGAAGGAACUAGGCAAAAUGGUGCCGUAACUUCGGGAGAAGGCACGCUGACACGUAGGUGAAGUGAUUUACUCAUGGAGCUGAAGUCAGUCGAAGAUACCAGCUGGCUGCAACUGUUUAUUAAAAACACAGCACUGUGCAAACACGAAAGUGGACGUAUACGGUGUGACGCCUGCCCGGUGCCGGAAGGUUAAUUGAUGGGGUCAGCGCAAGCGAAGCUCCUGAUCGAAGCCCCGGUAAACGGCGGCCGUAACUAUAACGGUCCUAAGGUAGCGAAAUUCCUUGUCGGGUAAGUUCCGACCUGCACGAAUGGCGUAAUGAUGGCCAGGCUGUCUCCACCCGAGACUCAGUGAAAUUGAACUCGCUGUGAAGAUGCAGUGUACCCGCGGCAAGACGGAAAGACCCCGUGAACCUUUACUAUAGCUUGACACUGAACAUUGAGCCUUGAUGUGUAGGAUAGGUGGGAGGCUUUGAAGUGUGGACGCCAGUCUGCAUGGAGCCGACCUUGAAAUACCACCCUUUAAUGUUUGAUGUUCUAACGUGGACCCGUUACCCGGGUUGCGGACAGUGUCUGGUGGGUAGUUUGACUGGGGCGGUCUCCUCCUAAAGAGUAACGGAGGAGCACGAAGGUUGGCUAAUCCUGGUCGGACAUCAGGAGGUUAGUGCAAUGGCAUAAGCCAGCUUGACUGCGAGCGUGACGGCGCGAGCAGGUGCGAAAGCAGGUCAUAGUGAUCCGGUGGUUCUGAAUGGAAGGGCCAUCGCUCAACGGAUAAAAGGUACUCCGGGGAUAACAGGCUGAUACCGCCCAAGAGUUCAUAUCGACGGCGGUGUUUGGCACCUCGAUGUCGGCUCAUCACAUCCUGGGGCUGAAGUAGGUCCCAAGGGUAUGGCUGUUCGCCAUUUAAAGUGGUACGCGAGCUGGGUUUAGAACGUCGUGAGACAGUUCGGUCCCUAUCUGCCGUGGGCGCUGGAGAACUGAGGGGGGCUGCUCCUAGUACGAGAGGACCGGAGUGGACGCAUCACUGGUGUUCGGGUUGUCAUGCCAAUGGCACUGCCCGGUAGCUAAAUGCGGAAGAGAUAAGUGCUGAAAGCAUCUAAGCACGAAACUUGCCCCGAGAUGAGUUCUCCCUGAGACUUAGAGUCUCCUGAAGGAACGUUGAAGACGACGACGUUGAUAGGCCGGGUGUGUAAGCGCAGCGAUGCGUUGAGCUAACCGGUACUAAUGAACCGUGAGGCUUAACCUUACAACGCCGAAG